rnacentral:rRNA from 1 species
CACGGUGGAUGCCUUGACACUAGGAGUCGAUGAAGGACGGGACUAACGCCGAUAUGCUUCGGGGAGCUGUAAGUAAGCUUUGAUCCGAAGAUUUCCGAAUGGGGAAACCCACCAUACGUAAUGGUAUGGUAUCCUUAUCUGAAUACAUAGGGUAAGGAAGACAGACCCAGGGAACUGAAACAUCUAAGUACCUGGAGGAAGAGAAAGCAAAUGCGAUUUCCUGAGUAGCGGCGAGCGAAACGGAACAUAGCCCAAACCAAGAGGCUUGCCUCUUGGGGUUGUAGGACAUUCUAUACGGAGUUACAAAGGAACGAGGUAGACGAAGCGACCUGGAAAGGUCCGUCGUAGAGGGUAACAACCCCGUAGUCGAAACUUCGUUCUCUCUUGAAUGUAUCCUGAGUACGGCGGAACACGUGAAAUUCCGUCGGAAUCUGGGAGGACCAUCUCCCAAGGCUAAAUACUCCCUAGUGAUCGAUAGUGAACCAGUACCGUGAGGGAAAGGUGAAAAGCACCCCGGAAGGGGAGUGAAAGAGAUCCUGAAACCGUGUGCCUACAAAUAGUCAGAGCCCGUUAACGGGUGAUGGCGUGCCUUUUGUAGAAUGAACCGGCGAGUUACGAUCCCGUGCGAGGUUAAGCUGAAGAGGCGGAGCCGCAGCGAAAGCGAGUCUGAAUAGGGCGUUUAGUACGUGGUCGUAGACCCGAAACCAGGUGAUCUACCCAUGUCCAGGGUGAAGUUCAGGUAACACUGAAUGGAGGCCCGAACCCACGCACGUUGAAAAGUGCGGGGAUGAGGUGUGGGUAGCGGAGAAAUUCCAAUCGAACCUGGAGAUAGCUGGUUCUCCCCGAAAUAGCUUUAGGGCUAGCCUUAAGUGUAAGAGUCUUGGAGGUAGAGCACUGAUUGGACUAGGGGUCCUCAUCGGAUUACCGAAUUCAGUCAAACUCCGAAUGCCAAUGACUUAUCCUUAGGAGUCAGACUGCGAGUGAUAAGAUCCGUAGUCAAAAGGGAAACAGCCCAGACCGCCAGCUAAGGUCCCAAAGUGUGUAUUAAGUGGAAAAGGAUGUGGAGUUGCUUAGACAACUAGGAUGUUGGCUUAGAAGCAGCCACCAUUUAAAGAGUGCGUAAUAGCUCACUAGUCGAGUGACUCUGCGCCGAAAAUGUACCGGGGCUAAAUACACCACCGAAGCUGCGGAUUGAUACCAAUGGUAUCAGUGGUAGGGGAGCGUUCUAAGGACAGUGAAGUCAGACCGGAAGGACUGGUGGAGUGCUUAGAAGUGAGAAUGCCGGUAUGAGUAGCGAAAGACGGGUGAGAAUCCCGUCCACCGAAUGCCUAAGGUUUCCUGAGGAAGGCUCGUCCGCUCAGGGUUAGUCAGGACCUAAGCCGAGGCCGACAGGCGUAGGCGAUGGACAACAGGUUGAUAUUCCUGUACCACCUCUUUAUCGUUUGAGCAAUGGAGGGACGCAGAAGGAUAGAAGAAGCGUGCGAUUGGUUGUGCACGUCCAAGCAGUUAGGCUGAUAAGUAGGCAAAUCCGCUUAUCGUGAAGGCUGAGCUGUGAUGGGGAAGCUCCUUAUGGAGCGAAGUCUUUGAUUCCCCGCUGCCAAGAAAAGCUUCUAGCGAGAUAAAAGGUGCCUGUACCGCAAACCGACACAGGUAGGCGAGGAGAGAAUCCUAAGGUGUGCGAGAGAACUCUGGUUAAGGAACUCGGCAAAAUGACCCCGUAACUUCGGGAGAAGGGGUGCUUUCUUAACGGAAAGCCGCAGUGAAUAGGCCCAAGCGACUGUUUAGCAAAAACACAGCUCUCUGCGAAGCCGUAAGGCGAAGUAUAGGGGGUGACACCUGCCCGGUGCUGGAAGGUUAAGGAGAGGGGUUAGCGUAAGCGAAGCUCUGAACUGAAGCCCCAGUAAACGGCGGCCGUAACUAUAACGGUCCUAAGGUAGCGAAAUUCCUUGUCGGGUAAGUUCCGACCCGCACGAAAGGUGUAACGAUUUGGGCACUGUCUCAACCAGAGACUCGGUGAAAUUAUAGUACCUGUGAAGAUGCAGGUUACCCGCGACAGGACGGAAAGACCCCGUGGAGCUUUACUGUAGCCUGAUAUUGAAUUUUGGUACAGUUUGUACAGGAUAGGCGGGAGCCUUUGAAACCGGAGCGCUAGCUUCGGUGGAGGCGCUGGUGGGAUACCGCCCUGACUGUAUUGAAAUUCUAACCUACGGGUCUUAUCGACCCGGGAGACAGUGUCAGGUGGGCAGUUUGACUGGGGCGGUCGCCUCCUAAAGUGUAACGGAGGCGCCCAAAGGUUCCCUCAGAAUGGUUGGAAAUCAUUCGUAGAGUGCAAAGGCAUAAGGGAGCUUGACUGCGAGACCUACAAGUCGAGCAGGGACGAAAGUCGGGCUUAGUGAUCCGGUGGUUCCGCAUGGAAGGGCCAUCGCUCAACGGAUAAAAGCUACCCCGGGGAUAACAGGCUUAUCUCCCCCAAGAGUCCACAUCGACGGGGAGGUUUGGCACCUCGAUGUCGGCUCAUCGCAUCCUGGGGCUGUAGUCGGUCCCAAGGGUUGGGCUGUUCGCCCAUUAAAGCGGUACGCGAGCUGGGUUCAGAACGUCGUGAGACAGUUCGGUCCCUAUCCGUCGUGGGCGUAGGAAAUUUGAGAGGAGCUGUCCUUAGUACGAGAGGACCGGGAUGGACGCACCGCUGGUGUACCAGUUGUUCUGCCAAGGGCAUAGCUGGGUAGCUAUGUGCGGAAGGGAUAAGUGCUGAAAGCAUCUAAGCAUGAAGCCCCCCUCAAGAUGAGAUUUCCCAUAGCGUAAGCUAGUAAGAUCCCUGAAAGAUGAUCAGGUUGAUAGGUUCGAGGUGGAAGCAUGGUGACAUGUGGAGCUGACGAAUACUAAUAGAUCGAGGACUUAACCAU